GGGAUCCAAAACGGUAUUUACUCAGUGAGUAUGCUCUUUUGCGCUUCUCCCUCAUCGGAAACAGAAGAAUUUCUUUUGCCCGUUAAAAACCCUAGCGUAAGAGCAAGCAUUGUCCCUUCGGGGACAUCCGAUAAAAUUGGAACGAUACAGAGAAGAUUAGCAUGGCCCCUGCGCAAGGAUGACACGCACAAAUCGAGAAAUGGUCCAAAUUUUUUUGCCUCCUUGUCGCCGGUGAUGCUCCGGUACCGAGUUACGGUGAAAGUGCCUUCUAUCAUGUUUCAAUACUCUCAUGCUUCCGGCUUUCGGAUCAUCAACCAGGAAGUCUCAAAUUUUACUACAAGUAUUUUUGGCAUAGGCUUUGCUCUCACUUCUCAUACAAUAAUCAAAACUGAAGACUUUGCUGAGACAUGAAAUAGAAGGAUGAAUGGUUUAAAUGAAGGAUCAAACGAUGUUUGUUCUUACUUGUUUGGUUGGGGUCCGAUGCUUGGAUUACUCAUGCAAGUUGCACUAUUCUCAGAUAUCCUAUCUUCUCCUGUUGCUGCAACUAUUCCACAAACUCACAGAAGAAUAUUGCAGUUAAUUAUCUUCACGAAAUAACAUCUUCCUGGUGCAUCUUGAAAUUGGUAUAUUUUUGUGCACUUACUGUCUGCUCCACCAAGUUGAUUAACGGCUUCUAUAAACCUCUCAUGGAGGUCUGGUGUCCAUUUCAAUCUUGGCUUGGCAUCUGUUGACAGGACAAGCCCUGAGUCCCCGUUGCCAUUUCCACCUUGCAGGAACAGAUGUCUUUCAGAGAUAGACAUUCUUGUUGAAGGGUGCAUGCUCUUAUCCUGGCGGUGAUGAUGGUUCAACCAUAUGAUAUCCGGAACCCAUUAGCUCAUCUAAUCCAAAUGUGCGUAGCAGAGACCCAUUUAAGGGAGAAGCGUUCCCUACCGGAAAUUUCUUCAAUCCCAGGGUGAAGACACUGGCUCAAAAUAAAAGGAAAUCAAUGACCACGGAAUGAUAUUCCUUAUGGGGAAAAGGACUUGGGGUUUAAGAUAAAAGUCAGAUUCUGAGGAAUGGAAUUUCAGAAUCUUAACUCAAAACCAAAGCAAUGGACGUAUUCUCAAGUCAAGAAUUUCUUCGUUAUUCUUUUCCUUUUCUAGGCCACGGAAAAUGGAUUCCGAACCCCAUUAUUGUUUUACCCUUUUAAGCUUCUUAACAACUUUAGUAAUUCUGAACGAUCAACAUGCAUAUUUGUGUUCUUAUCAACAUGCGUAUGAUUUA